CCUUAAUGGUGUACUUUCUACCGGAUUACAGUAUAGAAAAUCCGAAAAUUAGUUCGGGAAUAAAACUGUUCACGGAUUGGGUGAUGUUCCUAUGUGGAACAACAAUAUUCAGCGCUCUUCUCUUCAUCGGUUUCAACAACACCACCCUCGAACCUCACCUGAGACAGUUUGGAUUAUCUCCGGUCUAUGUGGGACUUGUGUACAUGUCUGCUGCGAUUGGUUUUUGUCUGUCAUGUUUGUUUAUUGGAAAUCUUCUCAACAAGAAAGUAAACGUGAUAACUCCUACUCUUGUCACCUUCGCGGGUUGUUGUGUAACAGUUCUUGGCUUAGUUUUUAUUGGACCUCUCCAGGGAUGCCUUUACAAGC